rnacentral:lncRNA from 1 species
CUCUGCGGCCUCUCGAAGCCCUGUCCUGCAGCAGCGCUCGUCGGCGGGGCCGUGGGGCUGGGCAGUGUGCAGCGCCAGAGCCGCCGGUGAUGGGGUGCGGAGGUGCAGGUGUUGAGGAGGGCGGGAAGGCGCCGGCCGCCAGUGAAACUGGAUACGCCAGUGCGUCAGCGGCGCAGGCGAACCUAGUGGCAGGUACGGGCGGCGCGGGCUAAGGAGGUGCAGGGGAAGAGCAGGAGCACAAGAAUGGCACACGUAAGGGAAUGAGCGGCGGCGGGUAAAGGAGUGAGGAUGGGAUCACACACCCACACACCCACACACCCACACACGCACACCCACCCACACACACACACACACACACACGUACGUCAGACGUACCAGCGCUGCCUUCCCCCCGCCGGCCUCCCCUCCUCCCCCGGCCUCCACGCCUGAACACCCCAACCCCAGACCUCGCAGCGGUCUGCAUCUCCCGCGACGGCCUGCAUCCUCCACGCCUGCUUCCCAUCCCCCCACGCGCCGCCGCCCCUCACCUCUGCGGCCUCUCGAAGCCCUGUCCUGCAGCAGCGCUCGUCGGCGGGGCCGUGGGGCUGGGGCGUGUGCAGCGCCAGAGCCGCAGGUGAUGGGGUGCGCAGGUGCAGGUGUUGAGGAGGGCGGGAAGGCGCCGGCCGCCAGUGAAACUGGAUACGCCAGUGCGUCAGCGGCGCAGGCGAACCUAGUGGCAGGUACGGGCGGCGCAGGCUAAGGAGGUGCAGGGGAAGAGCAGGAGCACAAGAAUGGCACACGUAAGGGAAUGAGCGGCGGCGGGUAAAGGAGUGAGGAUGGGAUCACACACCCACACACCCACACACCCACACACGCACACCCACCCACCCACCCACACACACACACACACACACACACACACGUACGUCAGACGUACCAGCGCUGCCUUCCCCCCGCCGGCCUCCCCUCCUCCCCCGGCCUCCACGCCUGAACACCCCAACCCAAGACCUCGCAGCGGUCUGCAUCUCCCGCGACGGCCUGCAUCCUCCACGCCUGCUUCCCAUCCC